rnacentral:rRNA from 1 species
AACUCGACCCCAGGUCAGGCGGGGGUACCCGCUGAAUUUAAGCAUUUC